GUGAUGAAGAGCUUGAUUCUGGCUCAGAAUGAACGUUGGCGGCGUGCCUAACACAUGCAAGUCGAGCGUGAAAGUCCUUCGGGAUGAGUAAAGCGGCGGACGGGUGAGUAACGCGUGAGAAUCUACCCUUUAGUGAGGAAUACCUUUGAGAAAUCGAAGUUAAUACUGCAUACGUCUCGAAAGAGAGAAAGAUGGCCUAAUUGCUGUCGCUGAAGGAUGAGCUUGCGUUCUAUUAGCUAGUUGGUGAGGUAAAGGCUCACCAAGGCGAUGAUGGAUAACCGGCCUGAGAGGGUGUACGGUCACAUUGGAACUUAGACACGGUCCAAACUCCUACGG
rnacentral:rRNA from 1 species